CAAGGCUCUGGUUUUUGGCUUAACUGCUUGGGUGCUCAGUGAGGAUUGGUGCGCAGAGGAUUCCUACUCUCUGUGCUUUGUGGUUGUGCCACACGCCGUGGCUCUGUCCGUGCUCCUUGCAGCCUGUGCUGUGCUGUGCUGUCGCCUCCCAGUCCUCCCUUCCCAUUUCCCUCCAUUAUCCCUCUGCUUUCCUUCUGCGCUUCUCCGGGUAAUUCUCCUUAAAACCUGCCUACUUCCAGAUGGUUUUGUUUUUGCAGACACGAUGCCCGAAGCUCAUGAGUGGAGAACAGCAAGGAUUUUUUUUUUUUUUUUUUUUCCAUGAACACUGAUCCCAAAAUACAGCAAGGAGGACAUGCGGGGAGUUCUGAAAUGUCUGUUUCUCCCAGUGGAGCGCACUCAGGAAACAAACCAGAAGUGCGAUUAGGAUAUGGAAGGCCUUGGCUGCAAAAGUUCAAGGGAAGAAAACUUGGAGUACUCGGUUGGCAUGGUGAUGAGAAGGGCGGUCAGGUGAUCUCGUCCCUAUUUUUCUCAUCUGCUGACUGAUUUAACAAACGUGGGCCCAUCUGGUGGUUAUUAAGUGAUUGCCUCUCAAGGUCUCACCUUGACAGAUAAUCUAGUUGGAGAAGGGAGCGGGUUCUUCCUUCCCAUUUUGCAUCUGCUGCCCUUGGAACAGAUGCCUCGAAGAUCAACCUGUGAUUUAUAGCACCAGAGUUGGGUGUGGGAUCUCCCUGAUAACUCACAGAGGUUCUUGGUCCUGAAGAAUCUGAUACUGACCACCGCACAGGGAGGAAACAGGAUGAGCUGAACCGCAUGCCAAGUCUAAUAGAGCUAUAUUUAUGUUCUGAAAAACUCCUGACUAUAAGUGGAAGCACCUCCUGGCAACAAAACCUGGUGCAGGCAGUGAGUACACA
rnacentral:lncRNA from 1 species